GGAUUAGAUACCCUGGUAGUCCACGCCCUAAACGAUGUCUACUAGUUGUCGGGUCUUAAUUGACUUGGUAACGCAGCUAACGCGUGAAGUAGACCGCCUGGGGAGUACGGUCGCAAGAUUAAAACUCAAAGGAAUUGACGGGGACCCGCACAAGCGGUGGAUGAUGUGGAUUAAUUCGAUGCAACGCGAAAAACCUUACCUACCCUUGACAUGGCUGGAAUCCCCGAGAGAUUGGGGAGUGCUCGAAAGAGAACCAGUACACAGGUGCUGCAUGGCUGUCGUCAGCUCGUGCC
rnacentral:rRNA from 1 species